CUGGUAUCUAUGAUGAGUUUAUUAGCUAAGCCUUUCACUUACAGGUUAGUUGUUUAUCAUUCUGUCACAUUGACAAAUUGAGUCAACAACAUAAACUUACCCAAACUGACAUAAUUGGUAAGCACACCAAUACUUUGGAUCUAACAGCUACAACUGUGUAAACAAUUUAAACAAUUCAAACCUCAUGCAUAAAUUUCCUUGGCAAAAGCAUGCGUCUCAAGGCUGCCUAGAAAUAUUUUACAUCAGGUUUCAUAUAAUACAUAUGUGUUCAAAUUUGAAUAAAAAAUAGAAUAUAUCCUAACAGGAGCUCUUAAGCAUACGUCCUGGGCUAUUACGGGGUUAUUAUACAGUUCAACUCUCAGUGCUAUCCUUUUGGGAUGUAUUAAGACCCAGCUUCUGUUGUAAUUUCUUACUAUGCCAGUUGGAAUUUAAUAGUGCUAUUUAAUUUGAGAUGUUUAAAUACGCAAAAUUAGACCAGUUUAAAUAGUAUAGCGCUAUUCAUGUAGGAUGCAUGUCUAUGCAGUCUCUAUUGGAACAGCUUGACUUUCGCCCCUGUGAAAUUGUAGAAUCGUACUGGUUCAUAUCGCAUGUAACUAUCAUUUUUAAAUGCACAUCUGAAAACAUAUCUAUACAGUCUCUGUUGUAAAUUCUUAUGAUAAAAGCAGUUGUCAGUUUUCUGUUGUUAUAAGAUUGUUUAUUAUGUCCAGUAUCAUAAACACAGAGUGUUUUGUUGCAUCGUAUCACGGUGCGGAGCUAUACGUUUCAGUCGACAUACACGCCAUCUUGAAAUAAUUACUAAUAACAUAUAGAUUUUGCAUGGUUGCUUGAUGAGGCAGACAUACAGCAACAGCUUUUGCCUGAAGGAGGAUCGCGGGUGUAAAAAUUUCAGCAAAAAAUUAAAUAUGUGUUUUACAUUGCAAAUUUUAUUUAUUACACUAUUA
rnacentral:lncRNA from 1 species